UACAGAGGUCUCAAGCGUUGUUCGGGAUUCAUUGGGCGUAAGGGUGCGUAGGCGGCGCGGUAAGUCGGGUGUGAAAUCUCGGAGCUUAACUCCGAAACUGCAUUCGAUACUGCCGUGCUUGAGGACUGGAGAGGAGACUGGAAUUUACGGUGUAGCGGUGAAAUGCGUAGAUAUCGUAAAGGAAGACCAGUGGCGCGAAGGCGGGUCUCUGGACAGUUCCUGACGCUGAGGCGCGAAAGCGUGGGGAGCAAACAGG
rnacentral:rRNA from 1 species